UAGUGAAGGUGCAUGAGGUAGUGAAUUCGAGUCCCUGACCGGGCUGCGUGUUGUGUUCUUGAGCAAGACAUUUUAUUUCACGUUGCUCCAGUUCACUUAGCUGUAGAAAUGAGUUGCGACGUCAUUGGUGCCAAGCUGUAUCGGCCCC